ensembl:lncRNA
GGGGAGAAUGCGACCAUGAUGCUGUUACUGAAGAGGAACACUGAGGUCCUCCACAGUGUGAGCCACAUCCAUGACCUGCUCAGCACCCUGCAGGCAGUGGUAGUCCAGCAGGACAGCUUCAUUGAGGAUCAGCGCCAGGCUCUCACCAACCGCCCUGAACGCCUCACCUCCUUCUUCUCCUCCCGUCCCUCCUCCCGCCACAACUCCUGAUCGAGCAGGAGAAACAGCGCAGCCUGGAGAAACACAGGCAGGAGGCGGCCAUCGCUGCAGCGCCAGCAGGCCACACACGACCAGGAGAAGAGGAGGAGGGAGAGGGAGUGGGAGGUGCGGGAGCAGCAGCUGACAGACAGGGAGGUGCAGCUCCUGGUACAGGAAGAGGAGACGGGGAGGAGGAGCAGGGAGCUAGUUACGGAGAGGGUGGAGCUACAAAGGAAGAAGAAGGACUAUCUGAUAGAUCUAGAGCGACUGAGAGACGCUCAGGGAAACUAGAUCGAGACAGAGAAAACAUACAGCGAGAAAUGGAGAGGGUAGAACACAUGAGAAUGGCUAAGAGGUGGAUACAGAGAACUCCCUCUUCUACCUCAGACGACUCCCCCCACUUCCCCUCCUCUACCUCCCUGGACAAAGAUCCAAUGGACCCGACUGAGCUCUCCUCCUCUCCCAGGAAAGAAUCCCUGACCUCGUCAAAAGGGAAGAGCCUAAGCCCUUUCUCUGAGGCCACGGCCCUAAAGGCCCCUAGUGGAGACAGUCAGAACCAGAUACCUAACAAACUGCUGCAACUGGCUAAAGACAGGAGCAAGAACAAGAAGGACAAGAAGAAGAAGGAACAGGGUACACAGUCACCAGAUACCCAGCACCUAGAGCCUCCUCUAGAUGGAGAGAUCUACUUCUGUUGAGGAGACCCCUCUUCAUCUCCUCCGAUGUCAAUGCAACGUCCCUCUCACCAGCUGAAUGGAAGGCCAAGUUGCCAAAGUGCCCCCAUCGUCAAACCCUCUAAGUCCUCACAAACACUCCCAACUGACACACAAUAGGAAGUGGAAGGUCUCUCAUCAUGUGAGUCAUAAGCUCCAGCUGCAAUGUUCUGUCUCAGUGCUCACUACAGAUUGGCUCCUGACUGUCACCUGCUAAAAAAUAUAACAAUAAGGACACUGUUUCUAUGUUAGAUACUGUAGGUUAAAGAUUGUCUAUAACAAUAAGGACACUGUUUCUAUGUUAGAUACUGUAGGUUAAAGAUUGUCUAUAACAAUAAGGACACUGUUUCUAUGUUAGAUACUGUAGGUUAAAGAUUGUCUAUAACAAUAAGGACACUGUUUCUAUGUUAGAUACUGUAGGUUAAAUAUUGUCUAUAACAAUAAGGACACUGUUUCUAUGUUAGAUACUGUGCUCCUGAUGUGCUUGACAUGUUGCAAUAAUCUCAAUACAUUUUACAUGUGAUGCUAUUGAUCACAUGAAUCAUCUUUUCUGGUGCAUGUCCAAGAUCGAUAAUCAAUAUGUUGUUUAUACAGAUCAGUCUACACAAUAUUGAUACUAUAUAGUCCCAUAAGAACUGGAGAAAACUCAGACUGAUGUCAGUUGAUCGUUGUUGUGGUUCAAUGUUUAAGAGCCACUUGUUACUAAUACCUGAAGAACCAGAGAACACAUAUGGAAUCAUGUUGUAACCAAAAAUACGUUAAACAAAUCAAAAUAUAUUUUAUAUUUCAGAUUCUUAAAAGUAGCCACCCGUUGCCUUGAUGACAGCUUUGCACACUCUUGGCCUUCUCUCAACCAGCUUCAUGAGGUAGUCACCUGGAUUUAAAAAAAAUUAAUAGGCGUGCCUUGAUUAAAGUACAUUUGUGGAAUUUCUUUCCUUCUUAGGAAUGGUAUACAGAAUAUAGCCCUAUUUGGUAAAUGACCAGGUCCAUAUUAUGGAAAGAUCAGCUCAAAUCAGCAAAGAGAAACGACAGCCCAUCAUUACUUUACGACAUGAAGGUCAGUCCGUACGGAAAAUGUCAAGAACUUUGAAAGUGCAAUCGCAAAAACCAUCAAGUGCUCUGAUGAAACUGCCUCAUGAGGACCGCUACAAGAAAGGAAGACCCAGAGUUUCCUCUGCUGCAGAGGAUAAGUACAUUACAGUUCGCUGUACCUCAGAUUGCAGCCUAUAUAAAUGCUUCAGAGUUCAAGUAAGAGACACAUCUCAACAUCAACUGUUCAGAGGAGACUGUUUGAAUCAGGCCUUCGUGGUCAAAUUGAUGCAAAGAAACCACUACUAAAGGACACCAAUAGGAAGAAGAGACUUGCUGGGCCAAGAAACACGAGCAAUGGACAUUAGACCGGUGGAAAUCUGUCCUUUGGUCUGAUGAGUCCAAUUUUGAAAUGUUUGGUUCCAACCACCAUGUCUUUGUGAGAUGCAGAGUAGGUGAAUGGAUGAUCUCCACAUGUGUGGUUCCCACCUUGAAGCAUGGAGGAGGAUGUGUGAUGGUGCUUUGUUGGUGACACUGUCUGUGAUUUAUUUAGAAUUCAAGGCACAAUUAACCAGCAUGCUUACCGCAGCAUUCUGCAGCGAUACGCCAUCCCAUCUGGUUUGCGCUUAGUGGGACUAUCAUUUGUCUAUCAACAGGACAACGACCCAAAACACACCUCCAGGCUGUGUAAGGGAUAUUUGACCAAGAAGGAGAGUGAUGGAGUGCUACAUCAGAUGACCUGGCAUCCACAAUCAUCUGACCUCAACCCAAUUGAGAUGGUUUGGGAUGAGUUGGGCCGCAGAGUGAUGGAAAAGCAGCCAACAAGUGCUCAGCAUAUGUGGGAACUCCUUCAAGACUGUUGGAAAAGCAUUCCAGGUGAAGCUGGUUGAGAGAAUGCCAAGAGUAUGCAAAGCGGUCAUCAAGGCAAAGGGUGGCUACUUUGAAAAAUCUCAAAUAUAUUUGUUCUUUGUUUAAAACUUCUUAGGGCUGAGAUCCCGUUAACGGAUCGAUUUGACAACAACCAGUGAAAGUGCAGGACCCCAAAUUCAAACAACAGAAAUCUCAUAAUUAAAAUUCCUCAAACAUACAAGUAUUAAACACCAUUUUAAAGGUAAUCGUGUUGUUAAUCCCACCACAGUGUCCGAUUUCAAAUAGGCUUUACAGUGAAAGCUCCACAAACGAUUAUGUUAGGUCAGAGCCAAGCAACAGAAAAACACAGCCAUCUUUCCAGGCAAAGAGAGGAGUCACAAAAAUCUGAAAUAGAGAUAGAAUUAAUCACUAACCUUUGAUGAUCUUCAUCAGAUGACACUCAUAGGACUUCAUGUUAGACAAUACAUUUAUGUUUUGUUCGAUAAAGUUCAUUUUAUAUAAAGAAAUCUCAGUAUACAUUGGCGCGUUAUGUUCAGUAGUUCCAAAAACAUCCGGUGAUAUUGCAGAGAACAACAUCAAUUUACAGAAAUACUCAUUUUAAAUGUUGAUGAAAAUACAAGUGCUUUACAGCGAAUGCACCACAAACUAUUAUGUUAGGAGAAUCUAUUAUGUUAGGAGAAUCUAUUAUGUUAGGAGAAUCUAUUAUGUUAGGAGAAUCUAUUAUGUUAGGAGAAUCUAUUAUGUUAGGAGAAUCUAUUAUGUUAGGAGAAUCUAUUAUGUUAGGAGAAUCUAUUAUGUUGAAGAAUCUAAAAUAUGAAAUAUAUUUUGAUUUGUUUAACACUUUUUUGGUUACUACGUGAUUCCAUAUGUGUUAUUUCCUAGUUUUUAUGUCUUCACUAUUAUUCUACAAUGUAGAAAAUAGUAAAAACUAAAAACCCUUGAGUGAGUAGGUGUGUCAACUUUUGACUGGUAUUGUAUAUAAAUCCCCAACGUAACAACAGGUCCAAUCAUGACGUCCGUCAGAAUGGGGAAUGCAAACAAUUGUGCUAAUGAUAAAAUGCUAAAAUGAAUCAUUUUCACCUGACAGUAUAUUUGACUUGUUAACCUUUCUUAGGGCUGCUCUGUCUGUCUGUCGAUUUUAUUUCAUAUGUGGGUUCAUUGUCCACAAGAUGAGUAUGGAGUAUGAAAUAAUACAACAUAAUGAGUAGUCAGGAGUUAGUUCCUUAUUAAAUGAAAUAAAUAAUUUAAUAGAAACACAAUGUGGACCCCUCAAUUGGCUCUGGUUAAAACUAGUGCACUAUGUAGGGAAUAGGGCUCUGGUCUAAAGUAGUGCACUAUAUAGGGAAUAGGGUGCCAUAGGGCUCUGGUCUAAAGUAGUGCACUAUGUAGGGAAUAGGGUUCCAUAUGGCUCUGGUCUAAAGUAGUGCACUAUGUAGGGAAUAGGGUGCCAUAGGGCUCUGGUCUAAAGUAGUGCACUAUAUAGGGAAUAGGGUACCAUUUGGGACUCUUGUUUAGCCUUCAAUAUAAAGAUGAAGUGUACAAAAUACAACCUAACAUCUUGUCAGGAUGAUCCACAGGUGGUUUUCGACCUCUGUCUUCGGGUUGAAAAGUUCCUGUAACUUUAAUACACUGAUCAGGGUUUACUGUUGAAUAUUCCCAGAAUAUUGAGGGAAGCAGGAAUCAGCGAUCCUCAGAUUUAUGGAAAGCCAGGGAUUCAGUAAUCCUCAGAUCUCUGGAAAACAAGGGAAUCAGCAAUCCUCAGAUCUCUGGAAAACCAGGGAAUCAGCGAUCCUCAGAUUUAUGGAAAAACAGGGAAUCAGCGAUCCUCAGAUUUAUGGAAAACCAGGGAAUCAGCAAUCCUCAGAUCUCUGGAAAACCAGGGAAUCAGCAAUCCUCAGAUCUCUGGAAAACCAGGGAAUCAGCGAUCCUCAGAUUUAUGGAAAAACAGGGAAUCAGCGAUCCUCAGAUUUAUGGAAAACCAGGGAAUCAGCAAUCCUCAGAUCUCUGGAAAACCAGGGAAUUCUUUUGAAAGUUACUGGAAUUCUGCAACCCUGCUCUGUUUGGAAAUUAAGGUACAGAAAUGUUCUCUUUCUGAAUAAUGUCAAAUAAUAAAACUAUGAAUAAACAAAUAUGUCAAAUAAAAAGACUGAUGUAAAAGUCUGAAUAAUUUGUUUUAGUGUUGAUCUGUGAUUUAUGUCAGCGUUUUAUGAUGAGACGUUAUCUCUGAUUCCCAGCUGUUUGGUGGAAUGUCACGUAAAGUCAUAUUUCCCUCAUAAUAAAGAACUCUUAUGGAAGUUAA